ACGGCAGCACAGGGAGAGCUUGCUCCCCGGGUGGCGAGUGGCGGACGGGUGAGGAAUACGUCGGAAUCUGCCCAGUCGUGGGGGAUAACUUAGGGAAACUUAAGCUAAUACCGCAUACGACCCUCGGGUGAAAGCGGAGGACCUUCGGGCUUCGCGCGAUUGGAUGAGCCGACCUCGGAUUAGCUAGUUGGUGGGGUAAAGGCCUACCAAGGCGACGAUCCGUAGCUGGUCUGAGAGGAUGAUCAGCCACACUGGAACUGAGACACGGUCCAGACUCCUACGGGAGGCAGCAGUGGGGAAUAUUGGACAAUGGGCGCAAGCCUGAUCCAGCCAUGCCGCGUGAGUGAAGAAGGCCCUCGGGUUGUAAAGCUCUUUUGUCCGGAAAGAAAAGCUUUCGGCUAAUACCCGGAAGUCAUGACGGUCCCGGAAGAAUAAGCACCGGCAAAUUUCGUGCCAGC
rnacentral:rRNA from 1 species